CGGAUAUAUCACCAUACCUAGCUUCCAUCUUUUUGCCACGUAUUGCCGGCCCCCAUACGUACUCAACCCUAUAAAUCAAACCCUUACAUUUCAGAGUUGAAUCGUUUAAGAAAAAAUGCCAGACCAUCCACCACCACCACACGGCGGCCACGGUCACGCACCACCCCCAGGUCCGGGACACCACGAGCCUCCUCCGCCCCAUGGCCAUGCUCCUCCUCCGGGGCCUCAUGCACCUCCUCCGGGACCCCAUGCACCUCCUCCGGGACCCCAUGCACCUCCUCCGGAACCCCAUGCACCUCCUCCGGGACCCCAUGCACCUCCUCAUGAUCCACACAAGCCACAUGACUGUCACCACGGUCACCACCACCCAUGAACCGAACUAGUCAUGAGGCCACGAUCGAGAAGCUAGUCUCAGCAAGUUGUUAUCUAUUUAUCUUUGUGCCUGUAAUGUGAUCUAGCUGCGGUUGUAGUUCUGAGUUGCUGGGUUUACUGGCUUUGCUCCAUUGAUCUCAUCGUUAUGUAAUGACUAAAAUAUGAGGACUAUGUAUGUAUCCAAAAGAAGGCUGAUCAUAUAUGUAUAAUAAGAAGAGUACUGGCUUUGUGGUUUAUGUAUAAUCCGCUUGUGUAAAACUUCUUCUUUUAUCCGUCUAAAUGUGAUGUAUAAUCAGAAAAUAUGGCCAGUUUGUCAUCUUGACCAACCUGAACUUACAAACUAAUUAAUUAAGUCAAUCUCCCCAAUUUCAUCAAUCUUCAUUAGGAUUUCAUCACUAGCUCAUUCCUUCACAGAUAAUUAACCAUUUGCUCGAUUGCUCUUAACAAACUGUAAUAGCCAAGAGGCAAACGCAUCCAUCUAAAUUCUAAAAAGUUAUUAACACAGGCUAGGGGUAAAUUAUCCUUUGUUCAGACCAAUCUCACAGUUGAAGCGAUGAAUUGGCUAAAACAAAAGCCUACGGGCAGAAAAACAAAGCAUCUCUAUUCGUACGGAAGAAUGACUUCCAUAUAUAGUAAGCCUUAUAGUUAUAACACCGUAAGUGUAUAAGAAUAGGAAUUCAUAAACGCAAUAAGAAGAAGACCGUGAAAGAGAUCGAAGAUUAAAGCAGGCCUUAAUGUCUUGUAUAUUCUGUACAAAAUUUCAACAGCCAGAUUUUCUCGAUGCAUUCGUCAGCUUCUGUUUGUAACCUUUCUUCUGUCAAAUCCUCCAUGGCUUUUCACGAGCAAUAAUUCUUGCAAGGUCCCAUUAACAAGCCUCACGUACGUUGUUCUUAUCUCCUUUUCCUUAGCUCACCAAGAAUUCAACUAUUACCAAGUGCAGCAACUAGUUUCUGUGAUCGAUCUACGGAAAGUUAAAGUUAUUGCUCAAAAGAGAAAGAGAAAACGGAAGUUAAAGUUCCAUGCUGCCCUAGUUCAAGUACGCACUCAGUUAUGAUCUUGUGGUUCUUACAAUGGAUGAAUGGAUGAAGCAUUACCACACAAAUACUCAGAAGAGAAAAACAAAACAACCACAGUGCACGAUUAACAUGCUAGCUAGCUUUCAUUGUGUGCAAAUAUCCUGAGCUACCAUUCCACCAAAACAAGCUAAAUAAGUUUAUCCUUGUAUGGAUAUUAUGUGAAUCGAAAUAAUUGUAUAUUUGAUUCUUAGAUAUUAUGUGGCACCUAUUACAACGAAGCAUGUGCCAUAUUCUGAAGAUAAUGUCGACACAUCUGAAUCAUCUAGAGCCCGUACCGACACCUUUCUCCUAUAAAAUCAACUCCUACUAGCUUAAACUCUUCAACAGUUCGCCACAUCAAGAACAACUUUCUUUUUGUUUAUACAAGCUAGUAGUCUCACCAAGAAUUCGAAGAUGCAUCACGGUGAUCAUCACGGCGGACCACCACACCACGGAGGAGGUCCGGGAGGAGGUCCGGGAGGUCCAGGAGGCGGCCCUCAACAUGGUCAUGGUCAUCAAGGAGCUCCGGGAGGAGGGCAUGGAGGACCAGGAGGAGGAGGGCAUGGAGGGCAAGGAGGAGGAGGACACGGAGGACCAGGAGGAGGAGGACAUGGAGGAGGAGGAGGAGGAGGACGAGGGGGGAGGAGGAGGACAUGGAGGAGGAGGAGGAGGAGGACGAGGGAGGAGGAGGAGGAGGACAUGGAGGAGGAGGAGGACGACGGAGGGCAUGGUGGUCACUGAUCAUGGCGCUAGACUACGUAUACUACUUGUGGUGUACUAGCUGGCUGAAUAAGUCUCUCUAUGUGACUUCUGUAGUAUUGUUUGUGUGUUAUCAUUUCCUAGUUGGGUCGAUCAGAUCCUAGAUAGUGAAGCUAGCUAGGGGAGUCGAUCUUGUGUUUGGAGUCUGUUAAUUAAUGUAUGUGUAUGGAUGUGUAAUAAAACCAUACUAGCUAUGUAUUUGAUUCGAGGCUUAACAUAUAUUGCAUGCAGCUAUAUAUAUAUAUAUAUAUAUAAUAUCCUUAGAUGACUAAGAACAUAAGAAACAGAGCAGUACUAUUGAUGAUUUACAAGAUUCAAUUUGUAUAAGUGAUCUUUGGCUUGUCCUAAUUAACCAUCAAGCAAAGCGCUAAGAACGAACAUAUUAUAUAUACUGCCAGAUGAUCAAGCAACUUUGCAGAGGGAUCAUGACGAAAUGUCCAUCUAGCAGCUUAAAUGCUUAAUUAGAACAAUUUUGCAAAACAAACACAAACUUGUAUAAUACGGUACCGAAAAUAUAAGUAUAACCGUUUGAAAUGUCAAGUUUAUCAAUCUUAUGAAAUCGAAGUAUCGUAAAUCGAUAAUGAUCUUCUUCAAAACUAGAACGAGAAUGUAACGUGUCUAUAUGACACUAUAAAUGUCUACGAAAUCAUGCGUUAAGAACAUAAUAUUAUAUUCCUUCGUUUUUUACUAAAGAAUAUCAUUACCGUUAAGCUUUAAUUGACAUACGUACGAUUGUACUUUGUAGUGAUACAUCUAAUUAUAUUGGUCGUGUGGUGCCCUUAGUAUAUUAAAAGGAAAAAACUAAAGAGACCAAAAGGCCCAAAGGAAACCACAGAAAUUGUCAUAAAGGUACAAGUGCAGCCCAACUUUCNNNNNNNNNNNNNNNNNNNNNNNNNNNNNNNNNNNNNNNNNNNNNNNNNNNNNNNNNNNNNNNNNNNNNNNNNNNNNNNNNNNNNNNNNNNNNNNNNNNNNNNNNNNNNNNNNNNNNNNNNNNNNNNNNNNNNNNNNNNNNNNNNNNNNNNNNNNNNNNNNNNNNGUCCUGAUCAUCACCUUCCUUGCCUAUGCUUCCUUCCACGCCUCCAGGAAGCCCCCCAGCAUCGUCAAGAGUGUUCUUGGCCCCAAACUCCUGUCCAAUUCGAGCUCUUUCGACACCGGUUGGGCUCCCUUUAAUGGCCCUGAUGGCACUCACAGGCUUGGAGAACUUGAUCUUGCAUUUCUAUCUGCAUAUUCUAUUGGAAUGUAUUUUGCAGGGCAUGUUGGUGAUAGGAUUGAUUUGAGGUUGUUUCUUGCUUAUGGGAUGUUAGGGAGUGGAGUUUUGACUUGUCUUUUCGGGUUAGGUUAUUGGUGCAAUGUGCAUAUGUUGUGGUACUUUGUGGGUGUGCAAGUUGUGUGUGGGUUGUUUCAGUCAAUAGGGUGGCCUUCUGUUGUGGCAGUUGUGGGGAAUUGGUUUAGGGUUUAGACAGCGGCCAUCACACGCCGGCCACGGUCACGCACCACCCCCAGGUCCGGGACACCACGAGCCUCCUCCGCCCCAUGGCCAUGCUCCUCCUCCGGGGCCUCAUGCACCUCCUUCGGGACCCCAUACACCUCCUCCGGAACCCCAUGCACCUCCUCCGGGACCCCAUGCACCUCCUCAUGAUCCACACAAGCCACAUGACCCGCACCACGGUCACCACCACCCAUGAACCGAACUAGUCAUGAGGGAUCACGAAGCUAGCUAGUCUCAGCAAGUUGUUAUCUAUUUCUGCCUGUAAUGUGAUCUAGCUGCGCUUGUAGUUCUGAGUUGCUGGGUUUACUGGCUUUGCUCCAUUGAUCUCAUCGUUAUGUAAUGACUAAAAUAUGAUGACUAUGUAUGUAUCCAAAAGAAGGCUGAUCAUAUAUGUAUAAUAAGAAGAGUACUGGCUUUCUGGUUUAUGUAUAAUCCGCUUGUGUAAAACUUCUUCUCUGUUAUCGGUCUAAAUGUGAUGUAUGAUCAGAAAAUAUGGUCAGUUUGUCCUCUUGACCAACCUUAACUUACAAACUAAUUAAGUCAAUCUCCCCAAUUUCAUCAAUCUUUAUUAGGAUUUCAUCACUCAUUCCUUCACAGAUAAUUAACCACACAUCCAAGCUGCAUUUGCUCGAUUGCUCUUAACAAACUGUAAUAAUUAACCAAGAGGCAAACGCAUCCAUCUAAAGUCUAAAAAUUAAGUUAUUAACACAAGGUUAAAUUAUCCAUUGUUCAGACCAAUCUCACAGUUAGAGCGAUGAAUUGGCUAAAACAAAAACCUACGGGAG
rnacentral:lncRNA from 1 species